UACGUAGGGGGCUAGCGUUGUCCGGAAUCAUUGGGCGUAAAGCGCGCGUAGGCGGCCCGGUAAGUCCGCUGUGAAAGUCCAGGGCUCAACCCUGGAAAGCCGGUGGAUACUGCCGGGCUAGAGUCCGGAAGAGGCGAGUGGAAUUCCUGGUGUAGCGGUGAAAUGCGCAGAUAUCAGGAGGAACACCCGUGGCGAAGGCGGCUUCCUGGGGCCAUCCUGACACUGAGAAGCGAAAGCUAGGGGGAGCGAACGGG
rnacentral:rRNA from 1 species